rnacentral:misc_RNA from 1 species
GAUGAAGAACGUAGCGAAAUGCGAUAAGUAAUGUGAAUUGCAGAAUUCAGUGAAUCAUCGAAUCUUUGAACGCACCUUGCGCUCCUUGGUAUUCCGAGGAGCAUGCCUGUUUGAGUGUCAUUAAAUUCUCAACCUUAUUGGCUUUUGCUGAUAAUGGCUUGGACUUGGGGGUCUUUUUGCUGGCUUUCAUUAGUCUGCUCCCCUUAAAUGUAUUAGCCGGUGCCCCGCAGUGGAACCGUCUAUUGGUGUGAUAAUUAUCUACGCCGUGGACGUCUGCUAUAAUGGGUUUGCGCUGCUUCUAACCGUCUCUCGGGACAACACAAAUGACAAUUUGACCUCAAAUCAGGUAGGACUACCCGCUGAACUUAAGCAUAUAAUAAGCGGAGGA